AUUGAACGCUGGCGGCAUGCCUUACACAUGCAAGUCGAACGGUAACAGGUCUUCGGAUGCUGACGAGUGGCGAACGGGUGAGUAAUACACCGGAACUUGCCUAGUAGUGGGGGAUAACUACUCGAAAGAGUGGCUAAUACCGCAUGAGAUCUACGGAUGAAAGCAGGGGAUCGCAAGACCUUGUGCUACUAGAGCGGCCGAUGGCAGAUUAGGUAGUUGGUGGGAUAAAAGCUUACCAAGCCGACGAUCUGUAGCUGGUCUGAGAGGACGAUCAGCCACACUGGGACUGAGAACCUUCCCAUACUCCAACGGGAGGCAGCAGUGGGGAAUUUUGGACAAUGGGGGCAAGCCUGAUUCAGCAAUGCCGCGUGCAGGAUGAAGGCCUUCGGGUUGUAAACUGCUUUUGUACGGAACGAAAAGCCCCGGGUUAAUACCCUGGGGUCAUGACGGUACCGUAAGAAUAAGCACCGGCCAACUACGUGCCAGCCGCCGCCGUAA
rnacentral:rRNA from 1 species